UACGUAGGUGGCAAGCGUUGUCCGGAUUUAUUGGGUUUAAAGGGUGCGUAGGCGGGUCUUUAAGUCAGGGGUGAAAUCCUGGAGCUCAACUCCAGAACUGCCUUUGAUACUGAGGAUCUUGAGUUCGGGAGAGGUGAGUGGAACUGCGAGUGUAGAGGUGAAAUUCGUAGAUAUUCGGAAGAACACCAGUGGCGAAGGCGACUGACUGGACAAGUAUUGACGCUGAGGUGCGAAAGCGUGGGGAGCAAACAGG
rnacentral:rRNA from 1 species